UUUAGUUAUAAUUUAUCCUAAUAAAAACUUAAUUAAACACAAUUCCCAUCUAUACUCGUCUUGUGCUGAAGUUGGAAACGUUGAUCCACAGACUCAACGCAAGUGAACAACAAAACGACAUUGGCCCCACUAAGACAAGAAGGAAAAAAGAGGAAAUGUCCCCUUCAGCCAUAUCCCAGCACAUGUGAUGCGCAGCUUCCAUAUGGGAAAAACCAACAAAGAUAAAAAGCAUUAUAACCUGUAAAAUCAUGGUAAUAUUGAAACUAUCAGCCUCAAAAGUCAAGAUUGGCUGUGAGGCUUGAUCUUAUGUGCUAGACAAGUCUCUGAACGGAAUCUUGCUGUGGUAUUUUCUUUGCCCCCACAGAUACAGAAAGAAAACUCAACUUUGAUGAUCUGCAAAUCAAAGUUGCAUCGGUCAAGUGGCUGAGGAAUGGUAGCUAAAUCUCCCAUCAGGAUGAAAAAGAUUUAAAGGGUAUUGGAUUUUUUUUUCCAAGUAAAAGUAUCCUCUUAACAAGUGAUCAACUAUUCAUUACAUUGGCAAAGUUGAAGUAAAGCGCCUUCUCCAAAAAACAGAUAAACAUAGUGGAAUUUGAAUUGCCUAGGCAUGGAGGACAUAGAAAAUGGUAAUGAUAAUGGUAACAACGGCGUUCACCAAGAAGUGAGAGAGCCACUCUUAGGGAAGAAUCUAGCAGAUGAGGAUAAUGGAUCUAGAGGACAGAAUAGCAGCAAAGAGAGAGUCUGGAUGGUUUACCUCAGCACUUUCGUUGCCGUGUGUGGUUCUUUUGAAUUUGGAUGCUGUGUUAGUACCUAAUUUCUUUUGGAAAGUAGUUUCAGGAACUUGCAUAUUCAGAAUAAGCUUAGGAAUCGAAUUUGGUCCUGCAAUGUUAUGCUCUAAUUUACUGUUUAUUUUCAGGUAGGCUAUUCCUCACCUACUCAGGAUGCAAUAACAGAAGAUCUUUCUCUGUCUCUGGCAGAGUUAUGUAAAUGACUUGUCCCUUAUCUAUUAAGCAUCUAUCCUUCUAUAGAAUUUUGGAUAAUAAUAUAGUCAUAAGCAUAAGAAAAUUUGCAUGGGGAUCUCAAUAUCUCAUGCAACAACAUCUUUCAAUAUGAUGCAGAACAAUAUGAAAAUGCCCAUUUACUUCGCUGAGAGUAAUGAGUUCUAGUACUAUUACAUAUCGCUCAACUCUUCUGAGGCCUAUUUAUGCUUCUUUCCCUCACCAGAUUUCAAUCAGCCAACCCCAAAUACAGUGAUUAAAGCACUUGUGAUUCUCAAAUUCAAGGAUUAAGUUGGAAAACUGCAACGAUUUGGAAUUCAUCACAACAAGUCUGGCCUAAAAACUUAAAUCAUUGGUAGUAAUCACUAUUAGCAAUGAUUUAUGAUGUCUAUGAAUGAUCAAACAAUUUUGAAUAAAAACAGGCCUACAUACAGAAAACCAACGCUUGAGAUCAUAACUUCCAAACUGAUUUGUAAUAGCCUGUGUUGUAUGCAGCAUUCUAUCGUUGGUUCCAUAUUGACAUUUGGUGCAAUGAUUGGUGCAAUCACAAGUGGGCCAAUUGCUGAUUUUAUUGGUCGGAAAAGGGUAAGAAAGUGAUGUUCUGAUGUAUCUGUAGGGAUUGAGCUGCACUACUUGAGUAGGAACCAAUCCUUGAAUAUUUUUUUUUUUCCAAUGGAUAUCUACCAUAUACAUAACCUUGUGAACACAAGGAAUGGAUGCAGGCAAUGAGAGCGUCUACUGCCUUCUGUGUUGCAGGCUGGCUUUUCAUUUACUUUGCUCAGUUCAGUGUCAUCUUAAUAACUAAAUCAUUGAUUCAGCUGAAUAACAGCAAAAAUGUUUUCCAGAGAUGUGACAUACCUUUGUCUUGAUUUAUGCAAAAGGGGGCUUUGGCAUUGGACAUUGGAAGACUGGCAACAGGAUGGGAGUCUUUUCCUAUGUGGUACAUUUUUCUUAUCUUGCAGCAUUUACUUCUUAGGACAUCUUUUUUAAUUAAUAAAAAUAGAUUGCUAUUUGCUCUUGACUUCGAUGGCAAUGUUGAGUUGGAUUCCAAGGUACCUGUCUUCAUAGUUGAAAUUGCACCCUAAAAUCUUUGUAGAGCCUUAAGAAUUCUAAAUCAGGUAAUGUUAUAACAAAAUUGGAUAGAGUCGGUUUUCUGAAUUAUAGAAAUGAAAAAAAAGAAUGAAGAUCAUAGGUAAAAGGAUCAUAUCUAAUAAUUUCAUCUUAUUUUACAGCUUAUGAUAUGCAGUGGGGUGUCUUUUUUCUACGUAAUAGGGACAGUACUAACAUGGAGGGCUCUGGCAUUAACGGGUAAAUUUUCUUGAUCUAUUAUAUCCAAUAUGCAAGCAUCAAAAAAGCAUAGUAAGCAUAGCAAUAGUCAUAGUUUUUGGAAAACAAAAAAGACUUCUAAUAAGAACGCACAGCAAAUCAUUUUAGAACAGGAGGCUUACUAUAUGAAAUGGUUGCAGAACUUAUCCCCUGUGCUAUUCUGCUUUUUGGCCUAUUUCUCAUUCCAGAAUCCCCCAGAUGGCUGGCAAAGAUAGGACGAGAAAAGCAGUUUGAGACUGCACUAAAGACACUUCGCGGCAAGGAUGCAGAUAUAUCUAAUGAGGCAGCUGAAAUUAAGGAUUAUAUAGAAACUCUUGAAAGGCUCCCAAAAGCCAAACUGCUGGAUUUGUUUCAAAGAAGAUACCUGCGCUCUGUUAUUAUAGGAGUUGGAUUGAUGGUCUUUCAGCAAUUUGGAGGAAUCAACGGAGUCUGCUUUUAUGUCAGCAACAUUUUUGAGUCAGCAGGAUUUUCUGCCUCUAUUGGGACCAUAACCUAUGCCAUUAUUCAGGUUGUGGUUACUGCCCUUAACACAACUGUGAUAGACAAGGGUGGAAGAAAGCCUCUCUUAUUGGUAAAAAUUUGUUCAAGUCUGAAUUAACUUUUAAUAUUUUCUUGGACAUCACCUUUCACAUAUUGGAAGUUGAUUUUAGCUUUCUUUACAAUUUAGGUUUCUCCAUCAGGAUUGGUUAUUUCCUCCAUAAUAAUUGCUAUUUCAUUCUAUCAGAAGGCUAUAUCUAAACUAUCAGACCUAGCAAAUUUUUUUUUUUCCUUCUGUCUCUCUCAAAUAUUUGACAUGUAAAGUUUUUCCCUAUGAACUAGGCUAAUGAACUGGCACUCAACACUGCAGCUAUACUCGCAGUUAUUGGCACACUGGUAAUAUAAUAAGCACUUUCUAAUGCUAUUCCCCCACCAAAAACAUCUCUUUUUUUUUUUUUCGUUUUCCUUCUAAAAAUCAUUUAUAUAUUUUUUUUUCUUUGAUAACAGCUAUUUGUAGGAUCAUUCUCAGCAGGAAUGGCUGCAGUUCCCUCGGUUGUAAUGUCAGAGAUAAUAUACUUAACAGGACGAAAAUUCUAGCUAUUAGACUGAUGAUUCCAACAACAACAACAAUAAUAACAAUAAUUCCUUUUUUUCUGCAGAUAUUUCCUAUAAAUAUUAAAGGAGUAGGUGCAAGCCUUGCAACACUGAUGAACUGGUUUGGUGCAUGGACAAUUUCCUACACUUACAACUUUCUUAUGAGCUGGAGCUCCUAUGGUACCUUUAUUCUUUAUGCUGCAAUCAACGCCCUAGGUAUUUUGUUCGUGGCCAAGGUGGUACCAGAAACCAAAGGGCGAACCCUGGAACAAAUUCAAGCAGCCAUUAAUGCAUAGAGAGACAGAAAUGAAGCAAAGAUCAUCAUAUCUUGUAAAUAAAUGCUAUUACAUAACUAUGAUCCCAGCAAAAUGGGAUCUGGGAAGGAAUUGCUGGAGAUGACCUUGCCAUCAUUUAUCUGUAAAUGGGCACUUAAAAAUUACAGAAAAUUAUUCCUCUUGGGAAGUGUAUUUAAUGACUUUCAUAAAAAAAUUUGCACUCAAAUCAGCUGUUUGUUCAUUGAAUUGAACAUUUGUUGAUGAAUUAUCCCUACAAUAACCUGCUAUCUACCUCGG
rnacentral:misc_RNA from 1 species